UUGAGCCGGAUGAAAGGAAAUUUUCACGUCCGGUUUUGAAGGAGGAUAUGUUAUAGGAUCCUAUCCAAAU
rnacentral:ncRNA from 1 species